GGUCCCUGAUUAUUCAUAGCACCUAGUGAGCCUCCAAGAGAGCCCUUAAAUGAAUGAACAAAUUAAAGAGGAAAUGCAAGAGUUAUUGGAAGAUUUACCAAAUCACAGUGUCAGGAAGACAAUUCGGGCAGCAACGUGUACGAUGAUUGAGGGAAGACAUCAGAGUCAGCAGCAAGAGGGAUCCUCAAGCUCUAAAAAUAGCUCAGAUGGAAAAAUGGAAGCAUUGAAAGUUUGCCUUUUCUUCACGCUUGCGUCCUAG
rnacentral:lncRNA from 1 species